rnacentral:rRNA from 1 species
GGGGCUAGCGUUGUCCGGAUUUAUUGGGCGUAAAGAGCGUGUAGGCGGCCAGGUAGGUCUGGUGUGAAAACUCGAGGCUUAACCUCGAGAUGUCAUCGGAAACCAUUUGGCUAGAGUCCGGAAGAGGAGAGUGGAAUUCCUGGUGUAGCGGUGAAAUGCGCAGAUAUCAGGAAGAACACCAAUGGCGAAGGCGACUACCUGGCCUGUUCUUGACGCUGAGGCGCGAAAGCUAGGGGAGCAAACGGG